rnacentral:lncRNA from 1 species
CUUACUUUCUUGUCUCAGACUGUGUUGAUUGUGCAACCCAAACUCCGUCUCAACAUCAACUUAUAGAAAAAUCCAACUUUCUAGAACUAGGACUAGGAUGAGGCAAGAUAAGCACCAAGGGCACAAAAUUUAAGGAGGCAUUCACUCUCUAUUGCUAACUCUAUACUUGCACAAAACUGAGAUCAAGUACCUCCUUAAAUUUUGUGUCCUAGGCCCCUCACUUGCCUCACCCUAGUCCUGACCCUGCAACUUGUGACAGUUGGUAUGAAGAGUGGUCCAAGAAAGGAGGAGACAAGUUGGGUUUUUGAAGCCAGAUCACUCACUGUCUAGCGGGCAACGAGAACCCCAUCACUAGUGGUAGGUACAAGAAACAGGCCCUGGCAAAAACUACCAGUGACUGCUGCCAACCAAUGUUCAACCUUCCAGUGACAGAGAUCAACACUGAGCUCCCAAUACAGUACUAUUCCUUAAGAAGACCAACCAGCCACUUGGUGGAUGGCAAGUUGACUAGCUGGGCACCUUCCAUCCUGAAAGAGCCAGGGUUUCAUUCUCACAGUGACCGAUAUCUCAUUCUGAGUAUGGUUUUGCCUUUCCCUCUUGCAAGCUCUCAGCCAGCUCAACUACGGGAUGGCUGAGUGUUUGAUCCACCAGCAUGGGAUCCCAUCCAUCAUCAUGCCAGGUCACAGGACCCAUUUUAGAAUAAAGCAGAUGCAGGACAGGGCCAGUGACUAAGGGAUCCACUAGUUAUAUCACAUACGAGAAUCUUCUGAUUUUAUGGUGCAUUGGAAUGGCCUACUAACAACACAGCUAAAACACCAGCUCAGAGGCAAUGCUCUGUGCAUAUGUAUGCAUCCUCAAGAACAUACUAUAGGCAUCAAAGACUUUGAUAUGGCUCUGUGUCUCCUAAAGGAAGAAUACAUGGUCCCAGGAACCCAAGAGUGAAAUAGGAGUGGAUGUAUUUCCCAUUCCUCCCAGUACCUCAUUGAAGGACUUGUGAUUCCUAUUUCCUCAGCUCUAGGCUUUGAGAGCUGGAGCUCCCGAUUCUCCAAGGAGCAACUUUUUUGCCAGGAGAUGCAGCAAAAAUACAAAAGUAUAAACAGUCACUGUUUCUUGGGUCCUUUGCACUUCUUGUGUCCAGGGACCAGCAGGCAAGACGUGGAGUCACUGUAUUAGUAAGGGUAAUUCACUUGAAAAAGGCAGCACUGCACAUUUAUAGUUGCAUCAAGGUUAUAUUAACCCUUCUGGGGAACCAAAACUAAGAUAAUACCAUUGUUUUAAUAGUACACAUUAAUUGGUCAUAAGACACAGAUUUUCA